AGGAGUGGAGCCUGCGGCUUAAUUUGACUCAACACUGGAAACCUCACCAGGCCCAGACACCGAAAGGAUUGACAGAUUGAGAGCUCUUUCUUGAUACGGUGGGUGGUGGUGCAUGGCCGUUCUUAGUUGGUGGAUUGAUUUGUCUGCUUAAUUGCGAUAACGAACGAGACUCUAGCCUAUUAAAUAGACGUUACUUACCGGUAUCUCGAAGGCUCGUGGCUACCGCUUCAUUCGUCACGGGCAUUUUUCAUACAACGUACAACUUGUUGUGCCUGUAUGAUGUGUUCUGUGUGCGUUAUGUUCGGUGGUUCAUGGUUUUUACUACCGGCGUACAUAUGAAUCUUCUUAGAGGGACAGGCGACUUCUAGUCGCACGAGAUUGAGCAAUAACAGGUCUGUGAUGCCCUUAGAUGUUCUGGGCCG
rnacentral:rRNA from 1 species